rnacentral:rRNA from 1 species
CCUACGGGAGGCAGCAGUGAGGAAUAUUGGACAAUGGGCGCAAGCCUGAUCCAGCCAUGCCGCGUGCAGGAAGACGGUCCUAUGGAUUGUAAACUGCUUUUGUACGGGAAGAAACACUCCUUCGUGAAGGAGCUUGACGGUACCGUAAGAAUAAGGAUCGGCUAACUCCGUGCCAGCAGCCGCGGUAAUACGGAGGAUCCAAGCGUUAUCCGGAAUCAUUGGGUUUAAAGGGUCCGUAGGCGGUUUAGUAAGUCAGUGGUGAAAGCCCAUCGCUCAACGGUGGAACGGCCAUUGAUACUGCUAGACUUGAAUUAUUAGGAAGUAACUAGAAUAUGUAGUGUAGCGGUGAAAUGCUUAGAGAUUACAUGGAAUACCAAUUGCGAAGGCAGGUUACUACUAAUGGAUUGACGCUGAUGGACGAAAGCGUGGGUAGCGAACAGGAUUAGAUACCCUGGUAGUCCACGCCGUAAACCGAUGGAUACUAGCUGUUGGGGGCAACUUCAGUGGCUAAGCGAAAGUGAUAAGUAUCCCACCGNGGAGUACGUCGCGAGAAGUAGAAGUUAGAAGAAGUUAGAGNGNGNGNGNGCGAGAGACGACGAGGAGAGG